ensembl:misc_RNA Metazoa_SRP Metazoan signal recognition particle RNA
GCUGGGCUCGGUGGCGUGCACCUGUAGUCCCAGCUACUCGGAGGCUGAGGCUGGAGAAUGGCUUGAGCCCGGGAAUUCUGGGCUGUUAUGUACUAUGCUGAUCAGGUGUCUGCACUAAGUUUGGCAUCAAUAUGGUGACCUCUCAGGAGUGGGGGACCACCAAGCUACCUAAGGAGGGGUGAACCUGCCCAGGUCGGAAAUGGAGCAGGUGAAAACACCUUGCUGAUCAAAAAGCUUACCAUCCAGUGAGGAGACUAGGUAUUCACACGUGAAAAGAAGAAGUAAG